AUGAUGAAUUGGAAAAAGGAUCUAUUCUGGGGUAAAGCAAAAGGGAACAGUGUACAGCAAAGAUUCCUAGACCAUUUUUCCCAGUGGCCCAUUGCUCCUGUUGCUUUUUUCACGCCAGCUGGAUCUCCCCAAGCCCCAUGUCUGCAGCAAAGUCUCCGUGGUGAAACAGGUCCCCAGGUGCUGCUGUUGCUGCCGAAGGUCAGAGGACACACUCUGAGAACUGGUGCUCUGAAGAACAAUGGAACUAAUUAGCAACAAGAGAAGACCACAGAUAAGAAUCUCAAAUACCAAAACACCACUGAGGAGACACUAACCUGACAUGCCAGGCCUCAGGGGGAAAUCGUGUCUGGCCUUCAUCUCCCCAGAAAUGCAUGCUAAAGGCAAACCAGUCACUGAAGGAACAAGUUCAGCAACAAGAGAGCAAGACCCUGAAUAGCUUUUGCUAAUGAAAAGUGAUUUGGAUAAACACAUUCAGUGAGUGCUAAAGGCCAUCUUACCUCAGGGCCUGUCUACCACUCUCUUUCUGGAGUUCUCCUCUCAUCAGCAAAUAGCUUCAGCCAUCUCUUGGGAAGCUGAACCCACUCCCUCACUGCCCCACGUCCCCUUAUUAUGAAUUCUCACAGCUAACUUUUAUUUUGGAGCAUUUACCACAACUGGAAUCAAGUUGUGUCAUUUGCCUUUGUCUUGUUCAAUGGUGUCUUCCCACCACCUAGCACAAAGCCUACACAAAUAUUUGUGGAACAAAUGCACAGAUGCUAUGACCGAGGAACUUGCAAAUAUAUAUAACAGGGUUUCACGUAGGAAUUGCUGACAGCUUUGGUUGAAGUCACAAGACAAGCUGUGCCAUCUACAUCCACCACUUCCACACUAGUACGUCAGAUUCUGAACCAUAUAUUCUGGGACUCACAGAGGGGGGUAGUAAAAAUAGCCAGCUUUUCUUCCCUUCGCUUCUGGCUCGUCACUGGUGUAAAGGAUGGAGGUAGAAAAGUCAGCUCGUGUUAGAAAUCAGAGGGUUUCUAUAGAGGGUGACAGUGAGCUUCCCUCUUGCCAAAGGUUAAAGAGAACAGCUUCAUAAAGACCACUUAGAAAAACGAAUCUGUGACUCCUCAAGCUUGAGGGACACACAGGGCUG
rnacentral:lncRNA from 1 species